rnacentral:lncRNA from 1 species
GUGAAUCAGGAUGGGGACUGACAAAUCUGUAGUGGGUGUGAGACAGCAGUUCCUGCUAAUGAGACCUGUGGUACAGAAAACUUACAAUGGAAUACCCAUCCAGUCUGCAAACACUGCCUGAGUUUGACAUGCUUGGGUCUGCAAGGUCUGAAUCAAAAAGUCAGUCGACAUGUUGAUCAAGUCUGUAAUAACAUGGUCAAGAACAAGGAUGGAUUUAUUGACUUAAGAGUUUAUUGCUGCUGUAAAUCCAGUAGUACAAGAAAAAUGAAGCAAAAAUUAAAGUGGUAUUUUGAGCAAUAUGAUGUCAUCGGAAAUGGUUCUGUUGACUAAAGGGAACAUCUUUGUGAAAUGUUGCAUUUCUUCAGAGGCAGGAACAAGAAGACACAACACAGACAUUCCAAGAGAAGGGAGGGGGAUUACACCAAAUGGAUUCAAUCAAGGGAUGAUCUUGAAAAAAAUCAACCUACCCAUCACGGAUCACUUGUAGUGAACACUGGAGGGCAGUAGAGGCUCAUGUUGAACGUAGCAGUUUGCUUAGUCAAACGUGGCUGCUUACUACUCUGCAGGACAUGAGGAGGAAGCUGGGAGAGAGUUCAAAUGAAAGCACUGCCAUGAGCAAUCCAAACAUUUGGGCAAGAGUAUAAUUCUCAGAAAAACAACUUGAAAAUAUAUCAAGAGCAAAGAGCUUCCUCUUAAGGACCCAGUCCCGC